rnacentral:rRNA from 1 species
UACGCAGGGGGCAAGCGUUGUUCGGAAUUACUGGGCGUAAAGGGCGCGUAGGCGGCCUUCUAAGUCGGACGUGAAAUCCCCGGGCUCAACCCGGGAACUGCGUCCGAUACUGGAAGGCUUGAAUCCGGGAGAGGGAUGUGGAAUUCCAGGUGUAGCGGUGAAAUGCGUAGAUAUUCGGAAGAACACCAGUGGCGAAGGCGGCUCACUGGACUGGUAUUGACGCUGAGGUGCGAAAGCGUGGGGAGCAAACAGG